rnacentral:sRNA from 1 species
AGGUCCUCUGGAUGUCAGCAUGGCAGCCACAAACCUGGAGAACCAGCUGCACAGCGCACAGAAGAACCUCCUGUUCCUUCAGCGGGAGCAUGCCAGCACGCUCAAGGGGCUGCACUCCGAGAUCAGGCGGCUGCAGCAGCACUGCACAGAUUUAACAUAUGAGCUGACAGUCAAAAGUUCGGAACAGACAGAUCACGUUUCCUUAAAGCCACAUCUGGCACACCAAACUACACUAACGUGUCCUCCUCUGUGGGGAGAGCUCACCUGUGCAGCCGUAGUUAUAGAUGUUGAAGGUCAGCGUGUCCAUGAUGUUCCUCAGGCGUUUCAUGAGGAUGGAAUCAGGCAGCGACUUCUUCAGUGACAGCCUGAAGACCUCUAAGAAGGCAAUCAGGGAGUACUGGUACAUGGAGUUCACCAGGGCCAUCUCAGACAGGACGAAGAACAGGAUGGCCCCCCUCCUGGCUGCUGGCCGGUAGCCAUCCCGCAGCCUGUCGAUGUCCAAGGCUGUCUUCUCCGCCAGCUUGAGUUUCUCUGAGACCUGAAGAAAAGCACAG